CCUACGGGAGGCAGCAGUGAGGAAUAUUGGUCAAUGGACGCUAGCCUGAACCAGCCAAGUAGCGUGCAGGAUGACUGCCCUAUGGGUUGUAAACUUCUUUUAUAUGGGGAUAAAGUGAAGUAUGUAUACUGUUUUGCAUGUACCUUAUGAAUAAGGAUCGGCUAACUCCGUGCCAGCAGCCGCGGUAAUACGGAGGAUUCGAGCGUUAUCCGGAUUUAUUGGGUUUAAAGGGAGCGUAGGCGGGUUGUUAAGUUAGUUGUGAAAUCUCGCGGCUCAACCUUAAAAUUGCAGUUGAUACUGGCAUCCUUGAGUACAGUAGAGGUAGGCGGAAUUCGUGGUGUAGCGGUGAAAUGCUUAGAUAUCACGAAGAACUCCGAUUGCGAAGGCAGCCUACCAGACUGUAACUGACGUUGAGGCACGAAAGUGUGGGGAGCAAACAGGAUUAGAUACCCCUGUAGUC
rnacentral:rRNA from 1 species